rnacentral:rRNA from 1 species
GACAGAGGGGGCAAGCGUUGCUCGGAAUUACUGGGCGUAAAGGGCGCGUAGGCGGGAUGGCAAGUCGGUCGUGAAAUCCUUCGGCUCAACCGAAGAACGUCGAUCGAUACUGCUGUUCUUGAGGGUUGCAGAGGAGACUGGAAUUCCCGGUGUAGCGGUGAAAUGUGUAGAGAUCGGGGAGGAACGACCGGUGGCGAAGGCGGGUCUCUGGGCAAUU